AUGCCUCCUCCCACUUUUCUUUUUGCUUACACAACACAUGGACGAGUUCAUGCAGUCACAGGAGACGAGCGACAGCAUGGUCAUGUCGACGCAACCUUUUCCCACAUCAAGGGCCUCUCCAACCAAAAUUCGGUCUGCGGACUAGGUCUGCUACGCCAGGAGCGCGUGGGACACCCCUCCGGAUCCGGUGCCCUGCAACAACAGUAUGUUCCCCGGGCGGCUAGCAAGUUUCAACAACGCCGCGCCUGGCUCCAGCCGGCCUCACGGUACCCCCCUCUUCACCAAUGCACAGCCAAUAUCGUUUAG
rnacentral:rRNA from 1 species